GACAGAGGAGGCAAGCGUUGUUCGGAAUCAUUGGGCUUAAAGCGCGCGUAGGCGGCCUUGUAAGUGUCUUGUGAAAUCCCACGGCUCACCCGUGGAACUGCAGUGCCAACUGCAAGACUUGAGGUCGGUAGAGGCGCCUGGAACUCUAGGUGGAGCGGUGAAAUGCGUAGAUAUCUAGGGGAACGCCGGAGGCGAAAGCGGGGCGCUGGGCCGAUUCUGACGCUGAUGCGCGAAAGCGUGGGGAGCAAACAGG
rnacentral:rRNA from 1 species